AUAGCGUAUAUUAAAGUUGUUGCAGUUAAAAAGCUCGUAGUUGGAUUUCUGUUUUGAGCGUCCGGUCGGCUCCCUCUGGGAGUGUGUACUUUUGCGACGUUCGAGGCAUUUUUUGUGAGGACGCUUUUCUGCCAUUAAGUUGGUGGUUUGGUGGACUUGCAUCGUUUACUGUGAAAAAAUUAGAGUGUUUAAAGCAGGCGUUUGCUCAUUGAAUACAUUAGCAUGGAAUAAUAAGAUACGACCUUGGUGGUCUAUUUUGUUGGUUUGCACACCAGGGUAAUGAUUAAUAGGGACAGUUGGGGGUAUUCAUAUUUCAGCGUCAGAGGUGAAAUUCUUGGAUCGCUGAAAGAUGAGCUUAGG
rnacentral:rRNA from 1 species